CGUUGAACCCUGUGCUGACCCUACUUGGUCCAUUUCUACUCGCCAGACCCCGCCUUUGUUGUUUCUUCUCUGUAAGGGUUCGCUACUCGAACCUCUACCGCCCCUCGUUUGUCUUUCAUCUUCAAGGCUCUGAAAUUGCUUCAUUAUGAACCCUAAUUCGACCCUUUCUGAUUUCUGACCUUUAUCGCUGCUUUUAUCGGCUAAGAUUAUUGAAUUCGUUUGGUGGUAAGAUUAAUGGUUGCCUCAUCUGGUUCCAACAUUCAUCACCAGCCUGCAUCAAAGAUGAUUCCCACACGUCAACCGUCACGGCCAGAGGGACUGCAGACAUCUCUUGCGUUAGUUUCCUCAGAUACUCGACUAUCACCUGACGUACCGAGAUCUAAUUCUGAACAAGUUCAUGAGUCUCCUGCUGAGAGCGCCAGUUCUCAGGAAACUUGGCCUAUUGGUGGAGUAAUGGGAAAGAAAAUGGAAAAUGGAAAGGCAGAUAACGACUUCGUGGAGCAGUCGGUCGUUCAUCGUCUUUCUAGUUCUGAUAAAGUCUCCCUUCGUGACAUAGCACGAGACAGAAUCGAGCUAAUCGCAGAAAAGAUGCAUCGCUUACCAGAGGAUUUUCUAGACAAUUUGAAGAGUGGACUUCGAAUUAUUCUCGAUGGAAAUGGUGGCGCGCAACAGAUAGACGAGAUUUUUAUUUUGCAGAAGCUCGUUCAACGUAGAACCGAUUUAACUGCAAAGACAUUGGUUAUGGCUCAUAGGGUGCAGCUCGAAAUUCUAGUUGCCAUCAAUACUGGAAUUCAAGCGUUCUUGCAUCCAAAUAUUAGCCUCUCUCAGACUACGCUCGUCGAGGUUUUUCUGUAUAAGAGGUGUCGAAAUAUUGCUUGUCAAAACCAGCUUCCAGCUGAUGACUGCACUUGUGAGAUAUGUACCGGUCGAAACGGUUUCUGCAAUCUCUGUAUGUGUGUAAUAUGCAACAAGUUCGAUUUUGAAGUUAACACAUGUCGAUGGAUCGGUUGUGACUUGUGUUCUCAUUGGUCUCACACGGACUGUGCAAUUCGUGAUGGAAAGAUCUGCGUGGGCUCUUCUGUAAGAAUCGGGACAGCGCGAACCGAAAUGCAUUUCAAAUGCCCAGCUUGCCAUCGGACGUCUGAGCUACUUGGUUGGGUUAGAGACGUUUUUCAACAUUGUGCACCUUCAUGGGAUCAGGAGUCUCUCGUUAAGGAGCUUGAUUUUGUCGGUAGAAUUUUUCGUGCAAGCGAGGACCAUGGAGGGAGGAAACUUUUUUCGAAAUGUGAAGAACUCAAAGAGAAAAUGAAGAGUGGAGUUUUGGAGUCGACAGCAGCGUGCCGAGCAAUAUUGACUUUUUUUCGAGAGAACGAGACGGAUGCUAUAAGUAGUCUUGAAAACGGGGAAGAGGGAAGGUUAGCCGCUCCGCAGGAAGCGUGCAACCGAAUUGCAGAAGUGGUGCAGGAGGUUAUAAAAAAGAUGGAAAUUGUUGCUAAUGAGAAGAUGAGAAGCUGGAAAAAGGCUCGUAUGGAUGUCGAGGCCUUUAACCGCGAGGUUGAAGAUAAGGCGAAGGAAGCAGCUGAGAUAAAGCUCGACCGACAGAGAAAGAAGCUACAAAUCGAAGAACUGGAGAAAAUCGUUAGGCUUAAAUGUGCAGAAGCUGAUAUGUUUCAACUUAAGGCGAACGAGGCGAAACGAGAGGCGGAGAGACUUCAGAGGAUUGCUCUUGCAAAAACCGACAAGUCCGAGGAAGAAUACGCUAGCAAUUACCUGAAACAACGUCUGAACGAAGCCGAGGCCGAAAAACAGUACUUGCUCGAAAAGAUUAAGCUACAAGAAAGUAGUAGUGGUGGAGCUGAUCCAUCCCAGAUGCUUUUGUAUUCUAAAAUUCAAGAUCUUCUCUACAGUUCCUCUAAGCCUGAUUCAGCUAAAUGAAUGAGAAUUCUUCGGAGCUCAACGUCGUGUAAAUCAAAACGUUGUCGGUUAUGUUCGUUUGUUGUCUGAAAGGUUUGUGGUGAUGGCGAGGCGGAUGGAUUCAGUGCAGGGGACGGUUCAUCUUCUUUGCUGUCGACUUUGGUUAUCCUGAUCAUUCGAUUCGGGAUGCUUGAUGGAACCAGGCUGCCGUUCGGGAAGUGUAGAAGAUUGUUGAGCAGUAAUGCAGUGGGGAUAGAAUGGUUUAGAACGAAAUCGUGUAUUCGUUCGGGGGAGAUAGCAGCUUGAGAAAGUUCCUGAUCAGGGGGCAUGAAGAAGGUCGGGUUGGUCGAUCGGGGUAGCCUGAGCUUUUCCGACGAAGAAGAGAAGAACGAAAAACCAGGGAGCAGCCAUAUGGGGUUAGAUCAGAAGCUUGGAAAAUGUGUUUGAAUUCAUGAGAUUUUUGGUGAAUUUAUAGCAGAGAAGGAGCAUGGCUUGUGUUCUUCAGCGUACAAUAUGAACAGUUACAGUUAGUUGAGAGAGGCAGUUCAUGCUUCAAACCUUAAUAUCUUCGAAAGCAUUAUAAUUUGUAAAUAAGCAAAAUUUUAUUGAAAAUUACUGCAAAUUCU